rnacentral:rRNA from 1 species
UACGUAGGGUGCGAGCGUUAAUCGGAAUUACUGGGCGUAAAGCGUGCGCAGGCGGUUCGUUAAGUUCGAUGUGAAAGCCCCGGGCUCAACCUGGGAACUGCAUUGGAAACUGGCGAGCUUGAGUAUGGCAGAGGGGGGUGGAAUUCCGCGUGUAGCAGUGAAAUGCGUAGAGAUGUGGAGGAACACCGAUGGCGAAGGCAGCCCCCUGGGUCGACACUGACGCUCAUGCACGAAAGCGUGGGGAGCAAACAGG